UAGGGAAUCUUCGGCAAUGGGGGGAACCCUGACCGAGCAACGCCGCGUGAGUGAAGAAGGUUUUCGGAUCGUAAAGCUCUGUUGUUAAGGAAGAACGAGUGUGAGAAUGGAAAGUUCAUGCUGUGACGGUACUUAACCAGAAAGGGACGGCUAACUACGUGCCGGCAGCCGCGGUAAUACGGAGGUCCCGAGCGUUGUCCGGAUUUAUUGGGCGUAAAGCGAGCGCAGGCGGUUAGAAAAGUCUGAAGUGAAAGGCAGUGGCUCAACCAUUGUAGGCUUUGGAAACUGUUUAACUUGAGUGCCGAAGGGGAGAGUGGAAUUCCAUGUGUAGCGGUGAAAUGCGUAGAUAUAUGGAGGAACACCGGUGGCGAAAGCGGCUCUCUGGUCUGUAACUGCCGCUGAGGCUCGAAAGCGUGGGGAGCGAACAGG
rnacentral:rRNA from 1 species